UGCGGUUCAGGAUGGGCCCGCGGCCUAUCAGCUUGUUGGUGGGGUAAUGGCCUACCAAGGCGACGACGGGUAGCCGACCUGAGAGGGUGAUCGGCCACACUGGGACUGAGACACGGCCCAGACUCCUACGGGAGGCAGCAGUGGGGAAUAUUGCACAAUGGGCGCAAGCCUGAUGCAGCGACGCCGCGUGAGGGAUGACGGCCUUCGGGUUGUAAACCUCUUUCACCAGGGACGAAGCGCAAGUGACGGUACCUGGAGAAGAAGCACCGGCCAACUACGUGCCAGCAGCCGCGGUAAUACGUAGGGUGCGAGCGUUGUCCGGAAUUACUGGGCGUAAAGAGCUCGUAGGCGGUUUGUCGCGUCGUCUGUGAAAUUCUGCAACUCAAUUGUAGGCGUGCAGGCGAUACGGGCAGACUUGAGUACUACAGGGGAGACUGGAAUUCCUGGUGUAGCGGUGAAAUGCGCAGAUAUCAGGAGGAACACCGGUGGCGAAGGCGGGUCUCUGGGUAGUAACUGACGCUGAGGAGCGAAAGCGUGGGUAGCGAACAGGAUUAGAUACCCUGGUAGUCCACGCCGUAAACGGUGGGUACUAGGUG
rnacentral:rRNA from 1 species